CUCACAGAGCCCCCGAAGCUGCUCCCCCAGAUUGAUAUUGUGAACAUCAGCGACAGCUUUGAGAUGACCUAUAGAUCCUAGUGCAGUGAUUCUCAGCUGGGAGUGAUUUUGCCCCUUUCCCUUCCUGGGGGACAUGUGGCAAUGUCUGGAGACACUUUUAAGUGUCACAACUCAGGACUGGAGAACUACUAUUGACAUUUAGGUAAAAGCAAUGGAUGUGCUAACCAUCCUGUAAUGCACAGAACAAACCCCUACAACAAAUAAUUAUCUGGGCUAAAAUGUCAAUAAUGCUGAGGUUAAGAAACCUCAUUCUAUUUUUUGUACUCAUUAACUAUCCCCCUCAAAACAUCUCAUGUACCCCAUAAAUAUAUAUACCUACUAUGUACCACAAAAUUAAAAAUAAAAAAGAGUAUAAAAUU
rnacentral:lncRNA from 10 species